AGUGAAGGGGUGUGGUGCACGAGGAAUUUUGGCUUCCUAGGUGGUUCUAAAAGGGGCUUUUUACUA
rnacentral:tRNA from 1 species